GCCCAUGAUGAGCUGCCCAAUGAGAUGGGUAGUCUGCCCUCUCAUAGUCUCUUGCCUGUAAAAAUCUCACUGCUUGGGGC
rnacentral:snoRNA from 1 species